CACACAAUAUCUUUUAUAUUCUGUGAUGUAAUCAUAAAUUUUGUUGUGGACAAUUUAAAUAUUAUUAAUAGAAGUGCACACAAUAUUUAAACACAUGGUGUAUUCAUACACCGUAUGCUUAAUGUAAAUUUGUAACAAACUCUGUCACUUUCCACCAAAUUAAAAGUCAUAUUUAUCUCCAGUGAGGAGUUGUCCCAUUUAUUCGCCUACCCUGCCCAAAGUAAUUUCUCGGGUCGAAAAUAUCCCCUGGGUUGGAUUCGUUCGGUGAGGAAUGGAUUGCUUGGAAAUGUGUUGAAAGUGGGGGGUUCAUGGUACACGAUGCUCGAUGCGGCUGCUUUUGUGACGUCAUCAAAGCUGAAUUUAAAAGAAUAUCCGGCUGAUUUUGUGUCAAUGUCGUUUUACAAGAUGUUCGGAUUUCCUACAGGCAUCGGGGCACUAUUGGUCCGAAACACAUCGGCAAGAGAACUGA